rnacentral:rRNA from 1 species
GUAGGUGGCAAGCGUUGUCCGGAAUUAUUGGGCGUAAAGCGCGCGCAGGCGGUCCUUUAAGUCUGAUGUGAAAGCCCACGGCUCAACCGUGGAGGGUCAUUGGAAACUGGGGGACUUGAGUACAGAAGAGGAAAGCGGAAUUCCAAGUGUAGCGGUGAAAUGCGUAGAGAUUUGGAGGAACACCAGUGGCGAAGGCGGCUUUCUGGUCUGUAACUGACGCUGAGGCGCGAAAGCGUGGGGAGCAAACAGGGAUUAGAUACCCUGGUAGUCCACGCCGUAAACGAUGAGUGCUAAGUGUUAGGGGGUUUCCCGCCCCCUUAGUGCUGCAGCUAACGCAUUAAGCACCCCCGGCCUGGGGAGUACGGCCGCAAGGCUG